rnacentral:tRNA from 1 species
GCCCGCGUAGCUCAACUGGCAGAGCGCAGCUUUCGUAAAGCUGAGGUUGAGGGUUCAAUUCCCCCCGCGGGCU